GCUGAAGUCUGUUCCGUUACCCAAACCUUCGAGCAAACCGAGACCUCCGCCUUCUACCAGGAAUUUAAACUGGAAGGCUCCAGCCCCGAACCGCAGACCGACGGGGCCUCGGAUAGCGAAGGAGUCUGCACCUUCAACGAAGCAACAGCACGCGCACUCGUCCAGAGGGUCGCGUCCGAGCAGCAGCCGCAGCCGCCAGUAGAUACUACGGUAAAUUUUGCCGCAACCGUCAGAUACACCAGCAGAUUACCCUGGUUGCCGGAGUCUUGUGCGGGAAUCUCUACUGAGAAGAAGUAUUCCUCCUGCAUCUGUUCACAUCAUGUUGGCAUCACUAUCGGAAAAUUCCAUCAAACAAUAUGACACUUGUUUGAAGAAAUGGCAUUUAUUUUGUAAAGCCAACAAUGUUAAUAUUUAUGAGGCCUCUAUCCCAAAAUUAUUUAUUUUUUUACUGAGCUUUUUCAAUCCGGUGCUCAAUAUGGUACUCUGAACAGUUGCAGAUCGGCUUUGUCUUUAAUCAUUGGUCAUCAAAUCAGUGAAGAUGAUCGGGUAAAGAGAUUCUUCAAAGGGUUAUUUAGACUUCGGCCACCCUUACCCAAAUACGAUUCGACCUGGGAUACCUCAUUAGUUAUAGAAGCAUUGGCUAGCUGGGUGCCUAACGAUAAUUUACCUUUAGAUAAAAUUACAAGGAAAUUGAUUACUAUAUUGGCACUUGUUACAGCUCACAGAGUUCAAACCCUAUCAAAAAUUAAAAUCGAGAAUAUUAGUUAUUCAUCCAAUGAAAUUCAUAUUAAAAUUCCUGAUUUAAUAAAAACAUCCAGUGUUAAAUCAAAACAGCCAAUGCUUGUCCUACCAUACUUUAGGGAAAGACCCGAAGUAUGUCCUGCUAAGUUACUAAUUGAUUACUUACAUGUAACUGAACAAUUACGUCAUAAUCAUACCUUUCUCUUUAUUAGCACCAAAAAACCACAUGGUAAAGUUGGUGCUCAAACAUUAAGUAGGUGGAUAAAGAGUACUUUAGAGACCUGUGGAAUUGACGUUUCCAUUUUUUCCGCUCAUAGUACCAGGCACGCCAGUACUUCCCGAGCUCAUAUUAUGGGCGUCAAUUUAGAUUUAAUAAGGAAAACUGCCGGAUGGUCUGGCACAUCUUCAACUUUUGGAAAAUUUUAUAAUAGAUCAGUUUCAAAUGCUCCCAGAGAAACAUUUGCUAGGAGUAUCCUAAUUGAGGAUAAUUCAUAAAUUAUUCCCUAUUUUUUGAUUGUAUAAUUAAAUAAUCUAUCUUUAAAACGAUAUUAAGUUGCGAUAUGAAUAAAUCGUUGUUAAUUGUGUACCUUUCAUUGUUAAUAAAAAGAUUAGACAAUGAA